rnacentral:rRNA from 1 species
UCUAAUACUGGAUAUGAGCUCUCAUCGCAUGGUGGGGGUUGGAAAGAUUUUUCGGUCUGGGAUGGGCUCGCGGCCUAUCAGCUUGUUGGUGAGGUAAUGGCUCACCAAGGCGUCGACGGGUAGCCGGCCUGAGAGGGUGACCGGCCACACUGGGACUGAGACACGGCCCAGACUCCUACGGGAGGCAGCAGUGGGGAAUAUUGCACAAUGGGCGGAAGCCUGAUGCAGCAACGCCGCGUGAGGGAUGACGGCCUUCGGGUUGUAAACCUCUUUUAGCAGGGAAGAAGCGAGAGUGACGGUACCUGCAGAAAAAGCGCCGGCUAACUACGUGCCAGCAGCCGCGGUAAUACGUAGGGCGCAAGCGUUAUCCGGAAUUAUUGGGCGUAAAGAGCUCGUAGGCGGUUUGUCGCGUCUGCUGUGAAAUCCCGAGGCUCAACCUCGGGCCUGCAGUGGGUACGGGCAGACUAGAGUGCGGUAGGGGAGAUUGGAAUUCCUGGUGUAGCGGUGGAAUGCGCAGAUAUCAGGAGGAACACCGAUGGCGAAGGCAGAUCUCUGGGCCGUAACUGACGCUGAGGAGCGAAAGGGUGGGGAGCAAACAGGCUUAGAUACCCUGGUAGUCCACCCCGUAAACGUUGGGAACUAGUUGUGGGGACCAUUCCACGGUUUCCGUGACGCAGCUAACGCAUUAAGUUCCCCGCCUGGGGAGUACGGCCGCAAGGCUAAAACUCAAAGGAAUUGACGGGGACCCGCACAAGCGGCGGAGCAUGCGGAUUAAUUCGAUGCAACGCGAAGAACCUUACCAAGGCUUGACAUACACCAGAACACCGUAGAAAUACGGGACUCUUUGGACACUGGUGAACAGGUGGUGCAUGGUUGUCGUCAGCUCGUGUCGUGAGAUGUUGGGUUAAGUCCCGCAACGAGCGCAACCCUCGUUCUAUGUUGCCAGCACGUAAUGGUGGGAACUCAUGGGAUACUGCCGGGGUCAACUCGGAAGAAAGGUGGGGAUGACGUCAA